GCUUAAUCUACAUGGGUGAAUAUCCAGAAAACCUUGUGCAGCAAUAUGUGGCAGGGCAUAGAUGAAGACGCCAUCAAUGAGGCCAUUGAAGACACCACUGUUGGGAUUUAUGUUCUUAAAGAACAUGCUUCAAGUGAUGAACCGGAGGACAUCGGAAUGGUCAUUGAAGGCAUCACGGUGUUGAUAAUGCAGCACAGAGAAGGAUGGAUUCAAACGCACGGCUCAUAGGGAAGGUAUUUAUUGAGGAAAAGGGAGUGGGAGUAGGGAGAUUUACGCCGGGAGUGGGAGUAGGGAGAUGGACGCCGGGAGCAAGCGGGCGGCAACCCGGGGGAAUCUGGAACGGGACGUGGGGAGCGGCUCCGGGAGGGACCGGGAGCAAGGGCCGAGGAGGAGGCGAGGGCACAAGGAGCUGAGGCACGAGGAAUGGAGCAGGAUGGUGAUGAGGGGGAGACACGGGCACGGAGAGCGGAGGC